rnacentral:tRNA from 1 species
CAAAGGGUAGUUUAAUUAAGAUGGUAGUUUUGGGAAUUACUGAUAGAUAUAAAAUCUUCCUUUGA